UGUGUCAUCAUGGUAAGUAUAGCAAUCGGUAGCAGCCAAUUGGAGAUGAAGAUGUAAAGAAUCAGUUGAAAGAAAUAUCUGGAUUUAAAAGAAGACGACGGCUUUCAUAUAGCGAUCAAACAGCUUGUACCAUUAAGUAGAAAUAGAUUACCAAGCUGAAAUAAUGAGAGAGAAAUACAGUACCACAUACUGUAAUUUUAAUUCUACUAAAAAACAAUGCCUUUAAACUGGAAAUAAUCUAAAAUAUAAUAAUGUUAUAAAUUCAGAAUAACCCUAACCUGUAGUAACAUAAGUCUGUGUUAUUGAAUGGCUGAAAAUGAUCCGUUAAAUAUAUCAGUUGUUUACAGGCUUUUAAUUAGAAUUGUUUUUUUGGUAAAACAGUGGAAACAUCAAAAUAUUAAUUUCAAUAUUCACAAACUGCCCAUGUACAGAUACACAACUGUUCAAUUAAAUGUAGCAUGUAGCCUAAGAAAAACAGACCGCCAGUAACAUGAGACGUGCAGGAUUAGUUAGCAUCAAAGCUAAUUCGAAUAAUGAUGUAAAAUCUUUUUUUAUAUACAUUGACGACAUAAAUGUUGUUCAAAAACACAAAUAAUAUAAAAGUCAACAUUUUUUCACAAUAUAAACAGAAAUAGUACGGCUCUCAAAGGUGAAAAGUAAAAACUUGCUGAGCUGUGGCAUUUGUUAGAGACGAAAACAGAAAAGAACUAACUACGGCAAGAGAUGAGGGUUAAACUUUAGAGCACAAAAACACUGACAUGUCACACCACGAAGUGUCUCUCAAGCAACACAAAACAACGCAAAGGCUGACCAAGUGUUACUUGUCAUUCACCCUUGAUGCUUUUUGUUACAAUGAGGUUUUGAAGGAAGGAAGGAAUUGAAGAUGCAGUGUUCUGAACUGUAAGCACGUAAGUCACAUCCACCACCAAACCCUGGAAACCUAUAUUACCCAAAGGGCACCUUGGUAUAAUCUUUGUGCUUAAUAAAUGCCCACAUUUUCAAACUGACGAUGAUACCAUUUUCAAAGUGCAGGCGAACCAAGGGAAAAACAUACAGAUCUGUAGAUGCGGAAUAUUUUAAAUCUGUGAGACGAUGCUGUGGGGAUGGACGGUUUACUGUAACAUUGCUGAGUGAGAUAGCGCUUCCCCCCUGUGCAUGAUGCAUUAUCUCUUCCUUCGCGAGAUAAUCUUUCCGCUCCUCGACACACCGGAUUCAAAGAGGCUGAUGUCCUUGUCCGAGACUGGUCCUUCCAUCUUGUUGCUGAACACGAUUGAAAUGGUGCGUGUGCAUCUUGUGAGGCAGAAAGCAGUAAACAGGCCGGAUGCAUGUCAGGGCUUAUCCUCACACCCUGCAGACUCCGCUGCUCGUUUCGCAUGGAGCAACAGAUUCUGUCUAAUCUAAUGAACACAGACUCCUCAAGGCCGAUAUGUGCGGUCACGUGCUUACGCCAAAUGCUGCAAACGGGGCAACAUGUUUUUUGUUUCCUGUUUGCUGGAUGGCCAAAAGCUUUCCCGUUGUGUGACUCCAUGUCUGCGCGCGUUACUAGUCUCAUACAAGCAGCACAUGUGACCACAUACCAUGCAUGACCUUAUAGGUCUUCACACGGUCUGAAGCCUACGCUGCAAAUGUGACACUCAGCAGUGCAUGACUAUAGCAUUCAAGCCAAUGACAAACACAUGGUGUCAGCAGCAUCCGGCUGUGUUUCAAACCCAGGACCCCCACCCAAAAAAGGGGGCAUUUGACAUUUUAGGUUUUAGUGACUGUGUAUUUGUGCAUUCUGGGUUUGUAGAUUCGGGAAAAUAAUGUUCAGGAGUCAGCGGAGAGUAAUAUGAGCCAGGGGUUGUGGACACUAAGUUUAGACUCACAUGCCUGCGUGUCGAGGACAGAGCUCCCUGCAGGGAGAUUCCCACAACGCGGUAUUUGAACAACACUGAGUCACACAUUAAAGAAAACCAUCGUAUACUAUAGAACAAGACUCGGCUGCUCAGGUGUUAGUCUAUCGGAAGAGAUAAGAAGCGUUGACAUUCACUAUCAAGCACCUAGUUAACAGAUAAAGGAAUCGCAAUCCCUGCAUGAUGUGAUCUCUAUCUUCAGCCUAACAGGAACUUUAUGGCAUAAGUGCAAAGUGCAGCAGUGUUAAACCUGCUAAACAGACGAGACACUUUACCACACAGCAAUAGGUUUAGAAGAGUAGGAAGAAGCUCUCACCUGUGUGCUGCCGCCGGCUCCCCUCUCUCAUUUCAUUCCUCAUGUGAGUUGCAGGAUGUGUGUACCUCUGUGUCUCUGUGUGCGGGCGUGUGUGUUGCCUCACCAUCUGACUGGCGGCUUGUGUCUCAUGACAGCUGCUGUCAUUCUCCGCUGUCGGCCCGGGAGACGAGAAAGAAGCAAAAGAAGCGUGCAGGAAAUAUGGUACACCCAGGACGGAACCACCGGCCAGCUACUGGAUUCCUGGAGGAAAGGCUGCGGAACAUCAGAAAGAGACGGAGAUCAAUCAGCAGGUCUCCACAGCACAGAGACCACCUCUAAUGGCAGAUGAUUGCGCUCCUGAAAGGGCUCUCAGACCAGAAUGUAACAUAUCAGAAGUGCAUUCGGGACAACAACAGGACCAUCGAUCAUAUCCUCGAUGAGUUGCCUCACCUAAUGACUAAAGGCAUUGCAGGUGUAGGAAAAUAUAAUCUUACAUGUGAUGAGAAUGUGAUACCCGAAGCAAUGUGAACAUGUGUGGGAAUUCCUGAGAGUUAGUCAAGUUCCUCCAAACUUGCAAGUAGAGCCUCAAGGGAAGCUGGUUAUGAAAAAUGGACACCUGUUAACUGUUUGUUGUUAUGUUAUGUAAACAGGUGAGUUAUAGCUCAGACUUGUUUUUGGUCCAGCAACUGUUUGCACAUGUGUAGGUAUGUGUAUGGAUAUGUGUGCAUGCUCGUACGCAUUUCUUAAUUCUUUAUGAUAAUAAACUGAGUGUCUCUUUGGCUUGUGGACAAAACAAGAGA